rnacentral:rRNA from 1 species
AGCGAACGCUGGCGGCAGGCCUAACACAUGCAAGUCGAACGGAUCCUUCGGGAUUAGUGGCGGACGGGUGAGUAACACGUGGGAACGUGCCCUUUGGUUCGGAAUAACUCAGGGAAACUUGAGCUAAUACCGGAUGUGCCCUUCGGGGGAAAGAUUUAUCGCCUUUAGAGCGGCCCGCGUCUGAUUAGCUAGUUGGUGAGGUAAAGGCUCACCAAGGCGACGAUCAGUAGCUGGUCUGAGAGGAUGAUCAGCCACAUUGGGACUGAGACACGGCACAAACUCCUACGGGAGGCAGCAGUGGGGAAUCUCGCGCAAUGGGCGAAAGCCUGACGCAGCCAUGCCGCGUGAAUGAUGAAGGUCUUAGGAUUGUAAAAUUCUUUCACCGGGGACGAUAAUGACGGUACCCGGAGAAGAAGCCCCGGCUAACUUCGUGCCAGCCGCCGCGGUAA